GACGAACCGAGCGAGCGUUGUUCGGAAUCACUGGGCUUAAAGGGCGCGUAGGCGGGCCCGUCAGUCUGUGGUGAAAUCCUCCGGCUCAACCGGAGAACUGCCUCGGAUACUGCGGGUCUCGAGGGUGAUAGGGGUAUGCGGAACUAUCGGUGGAGCGGUGAAAUGCGUUGAUAUCGAUAGGAACUCCGGUGGCGAAGGCGGCAUACUGGAUCACUUCAGACGCUGAGGCGCGAAAGCCAGGGGAGCAAACGGG
rnacentral:rRNA from 1 species